AACUAAUUAUUAUAUAUAAAAUAAACUAUAUUAUUUAACAUAUUAAUAUGUUCAUACAAUUAAUUAUUCAUAUAUUAAAAAAAAUUUCAACACUAAAUUAAAAUACGACUAAAAUGUUUAUUAUAUUACUAAAAAAGAAACAAUGUGAAUAUUAUUUUUUUUUACUUUCAUGGUUUGUCAUACUCCCUUGAUCAUCAUAAAUCUGACAAGAUUUGCUUGCUUCAUAUUUUCACCAACGAAUAAUUCCUCUGCGUCAUAUCUUACGAUAUCAUCUAACUCUUCCUUCCUGCGUCAAACCUUAGGAUAUCUCAUCCAACUCUUCCUAUUCACAAUAAAUUAUUAAUAGUUACUAUCAAAACUUCAUAAAUACUAAUUUUUAAUACACAUGUAGAAUGAUAUUUGUCUGUGAUAUUGUAUUAUAUUAUUUAGUUAUUACUAAUAUAAUUUAUUGAUAAUUAAAUAUUAUAUAAUAAAUAUUACUUUUUUUUUUAAUUUUAUUUAAUAAAUUUUAUAAUAGCAUUUGAAUUAUUUACAUUAUUUAACAUUUUUUCAAUGUUAAUAAAAAAAUAUAUUUGAAACUUUAAAUAAAAUUUAAAAAUUAAUUAAAAAACUAAAUUUAUAUUGUUUUAAAUAUGAGAGAUUAAAUUAAUUUAAAAUUAAAAAAAUAAUAAUUUCAAUUUUACAAUUAAGAAACCAAAAUUAUGUUUAACUUAAUUUAAUAUAUUAUUUCUAACACUUUGCACAAUGUUGCAUGUUUUAAAACAGGUAGAUCUGAGGAGCAAUGUAAUUUUUUAUGCUAACCUGUAAUGUUUUUGUUGUGAAAGAUAAAAUCCUUUAUUUGAUUAGCAACCGCCAUUGAUGUUUUUGAUGCAUGCAUUUGUAUCUCAUCUUACCUGAUAGCAAAAUAACAGAAGAUUACAUAAUAAGAAAUAUAAUUUGUGAAUAAGAUCUUUCUGCCACAGCUCAUUAUAUAAACUAAAACAAUAUCUAAAAAAAUUUAAGUUCUAAAUAGAUGAAGGGAUUUGUUAAUGUAGUUAGAUAUAAAUGUUAAAAAAAAUUGUUAAAAAUAAACAUAAUACUUACUACUAAAUGAAAAAACAAAAUCUUAAAAGUGGUUAUGUAUGUAAAAAUAUAUUCAGAAUAUAUAAAUACAUAAACUAGAUCCAUGUUUUUCAAACAGAUACCAGUAACAUACUAUGAGAUAAGUAAAUUAUGGUUUAAUAUAAAUGUAACAUUUUUUCUAAUUAUCUUAAAGAAAAAAAACAUUCUCGUAUUUUAUGAGAGCUUACCGUCUGACAUAGAAGCUUUCAGUUUUUAAGGCUUUCAACCAAAAUAUGAGAGAAAAAGAAGAAAGAUUGAGAAAAAGGAAAGACAGAGAGAAGCGGAGGGAAUGAGACAU
rnacentral:lncRNA from 1 species